rnacentral:rRNA from 1 species
AUAGAGACUCAGAGCUGCAUAUCAAUAAGCGGAGGAAAAGAAACUAACAAGGAUUCCCUUAGUAACGGCGAGUGAAGCGGGAAGAGCUCAAAUUUGAAAUCUUCAAGGUUCUACCUUGACGAAUUGUAGUUUAAAGAAGUGUUUUCUGUUGGAGUUUUGGUAAAAGUUCUUUGGAAAAGGACAUCAUAGAGGGUGAGAAUCCCGUAUUUGACCAUUAUCUCCAGCUUUGUGAUACACUUUCAAAGAGUCGGAUUGUUUGGGAAUGCAGUCCAAAAUGGGUGGUAAAUUUCACCUAAAGCUAAAUAUUGGCGAGAGACCGAUAGCGAACAGUACCGUGAGGGAAAGAUGAAAAGAACUUUGAAAAGAGAGUUAAACAGUACGUGAAAUUGUCAAAAGGGAAGCGUUUGACACCAGUGUUGUUUUUCCGAAAAUCAAUUACGAAUGGCUUGAUUUUGUGUUGUAUUGACCUUAUCAGCUUUCUGCACUUUUUUCGAGUCUUUCUUAAUGCACUUUUCGGUUAACAAGUCAACAUCAAUUUCUUUUGUUGUAAAAGGGUCAUUCGGAAGGUGGCUUUCUUUCGGAGAAAGUGUUUAUAGCCCUUAUGCCUCUACAAUCGGAGAGAUUGAGGUCUGCAGCGUAGAUCCUUCGGGGUUAGAUACAUUUGUGCUAAGUUAUAGCCUUUUCAUAGACAACUUGUUGACUAUGAUUAGUCAUUGUAGCUUACUCGCUGAUGCUAUUUUACCUACGCUUAGGAUGUUGACGAUCAGCUGAGCGCG